AGACUAGGAGGAGUCAAGUCGGUUUGCCAUUCAGGAUGACUGGGGAUCGUGGGCAACCGAAGUGUGGCUAAAGGCCAGUUG
rnacentral:precursor_RNA from 1 species